UGCGGGGGGAGCAAGCGUUGUUCGGAUUUACUGGGCGUAAAGGGCGCGUAGGCGGUCAGCACAGGUCAGUUGUGAAAUCUCCGGGCUUAACUCGGAAAGGUCAACUGAUACUGUGCGACUAGAGUGCAGAAGGGGCAACUGGAAUUCUCGGUGUAGCGGUGAAAUGCGUAGAUAUCGAGAGGAACACCUGCGGCGAAGGCGGGUUGCUGGGCUGACACUGACGCUGAUGCGCGAAAGCCAGGGGAGCGAACGGG
rnacentral:rRNA from 1 species